rnacentral:lncRNA from 1 species
UAGUGUUGUAUAUCUUAUGUAUGUACUUGUAGAUUUUCUAACACCUAUUGGAUAUAAGUAACAAUAUCUUGAAAUCUCUAUAUAAUAUCUUCAACAAGCGAUAUAUACACUAUCUUAAACACAUAAAAAGAAAAAAAAAACAAUAUAUAAUUAACAACUAAUACAUGUGUAUGCGUUUUAUAUACAUCAAUUUCAGUCAAAGUAACAUCCUAAAAAAGUUAAUAUACGACACACUAGUUGGAAAAAAAAAAAAAAACUUGAAGCUGA